CUUCCUCUGCCACGACCACCUGAAUAUUCUGAUUUUCCUUUGUGAAGGGCUCCCCCUUCGCUUGAAAAGCCUUCUCUUCUACCUUUUCAUUGGACCUACUGAUUCGAACUUCAUGGGCUAACAGUGAACUCAUUAAUUCAUCAAAAUUAUAAGUAGAUAGGUCCUUAGAUUCUUCUAUUGCAGCAACAACAUGAUCAAAGCCUUUAGUUAAACUUCUCAACACCUU
rnacentral:lncRNA from 1 species